AGGGUAUUGCAGCUUUUCCCAGUCACUAGUGUUACUUUGUAUUCACAGCCAAGACAGCUGCGAUCAGUCAAGUCCACCUGAGUCAAAGUAGACUAUACCAAGAAACAAGAAAACCUCAUCAUAUUUUCAGUCAGAGAAGUAGAAGCAAUGACCAUGAUCUCUCCGUCUCUCUCUGCUGCCAGUCUAGUGAAAUUAAACCAGAUCCAGCCUCUCACACCUACCCUACGAUGUCAUUCUACAAACAAUCACAUCAUCAACAUCUCAAACCUACAAGAUGAUGCAUAUGAAUAAUUUUUUUUUUAGGUAAGUGGUAUUUCUAAGACUCCAUUUGGCAAAAGGGAUGAUGAGAUACAAAAGUUUCAGAACCACAACCGAUUAAGGUACAGGUACAUCAAAAGUCAUUACUGCAAGACAUAUUUGAAAGCAAAGAAAUCUUGGGAUUGAUUAACGGUGGGGGUAGGGGGAAAGAGACAUCAACAUCAAUGUAUUUUCCAAUGACCUGUGUAGUUAUGGAAGUAAUAAAUUAAUAUUUUCAAACAUCAAGACAUAUUCUUCUUUUUGAAAUAAGCAAAUAAAA